UACGAAGGUGGCAAGCGUUGUUCGGAUUUACUGGGCGUAAAGGGAGCGUAGGUGGUGCGGUAAGCCCUCCGGGAAAGCUUCAGGCUUAACCUGAAAAGGUCGGGGGGGACUGUCGCGCUAGAGGACGGGAGAGGAGCGCGGAAUUCCCGGUGUAGCGGUGAAAUGCGUAGAGAUCGGGAGGAAGGCCGGUGGCGAAGGCGGCGCUCUGGAACGUUUCUGACACUGAGGCUCGAAAGCGUGGGGAGCAAACAGG
rnacentral:rRNA from 1 species